rnacentral:rRNA from 1 species
GGAGGGUGCAAGCGUUGUUCGGAAUUAUUGGGCGUAAAGAGCGUGUAGGCGGUCCGGUAAGUCAGAUGUGAAAGCCCUGGGCUCAACCCAGGAAGUGCAUUUGAAACUACCAGACUUGAGUACGGGAGAGGAGGGGGGAAUUCCCGGUGUAGAGGUGAAAUUCGUAGAUACCGGGAGGAAUACCAGUGGCGAAGGCGCCCCUCUGGACCGAUACUGACGCUGAGACGCGAAAGCGUGGGGAGCAAACAGGAUUAGAUACCCUGGGUAGUCCACGCCGUAAACGAUGAGCACUAGGUGUAGCGGGUAUUGACCCCCCUGCUGUGCCGUAGCUAACGCAUUAAGUGCUCCGCCUGGGGGACUACGGUCGCAAGACUA